rnacentral:rRNA from 1 species
AGUCGAGCGGUAACAGAUCCAGCUUGCUGGAUGCUGACGAGCGGCGGACGGGUGAGUAAUGCAUAGGAAUCUGCCCGAUAGUGGGGGAUAACCUGGGGAAACCCAGGCUAAUACCGCAUACGUCCUACGGGAGAAAGGGGGCUCCGGCUCCCGCUAUGGGAUGAGCCUAUGUCGGAUUAGCUAGUUGGUGAGGUAACGGCUCACCAAGGCGACGAUCCGUAGCUGGUCUGAGAGGAUGAUCAGCCACAUCGGGACUGAGACACGGCCCGAACUCCUACGGGAGGCAGCAGUGGGGAAUAUUGGACAAUGGGGGAAACCCUGAUCCAGCCAUGCCGCGUGUGUGAAGAAGGCCCUCGGGUUGUAAAGCACUUUCAGCGAGGAAGAACGCCUAGCGGUUAAUACCCGCUAGGAAAGACAUCACUCGCAGAAGAAGCACCGGCUAACUCCGUGCCAGCAGCCGCGGUAAUACGGAGGGUGCAAGCGUUAAUCGGAAUUACUGGGCGUAAAGCGCGCGUAGGUGGCUUGAUAAGCCGGUUGUGAAAGCCCCGGGCUCAACCUGGGAACGGCAUCCGGAACUGUCAAGCUAGAGUGCAGGAGAGGAAGGUAGAAUUCCCGGUGUAGCGGUGAAAUGCGUAGAGAUCGGGAGGAAUACCAGUGGCGAAGGCGGCCUUCUGGACUGACACUGACACUGAGGUGCGAAAGCGUGGGUAGCAAACAGGAUUAGAUACCCUGGUAGUCCACGCCGUAAACGAUGUCGACCAGCCGUUGGGUGCCUAGCGCACUUUGUGGCGAAGUUAACGCGAUAAGUCGACCGCCUGGGGAGUACGGCCGCAAGGUUAAAACUCAAAUGAAUUGACGGGGG